UGUGUGUGUGUGUGAGUGUGUGUGUGUGCGUAUGUGCUGCGUUUCACAAAUGCCGACAAGUUGAGGCGGCAAAGUGUUAGGCAAAUAAAUAAACUGUAACUGAUGCAACAAUUGUGGCUAGAACGCUUCAAAAUAUUUAUAAAAGACAUUGUAUGUAUGUAUGUGUGUGCUACAUACAUAUACAAAUACAGACAGACAUACGUGUGCGUCUGUAUAUAUAGAGGCCGCCGUUUGCUUUAGCUCCGUGUGUGUGUGUGUGUGUGCGAGCCAGCCAGGCAUUCAGUGUGCGUGUGUGUGUGUGUACAUAUAAUCAUGUGAAAAAUCGAUUGGAAGGCACUGGAAGCAUUGGAACGGCACAGCGGCAGCGGUGGCGGCGCCAAUUGUCAUUUACUAUCAAGCAAGAAGAAGAAACGUGCGCACGCACCAAAAGUAGCCACCAAAAAGAGAGAAAAGAAAAGAAACGAAAGAAGAAAAUAGAAAAGAGUAAACCGAUUUAAAACGAAAAUAAAGCAAACACGCAACGGCACAUUUUUGCACAAUUAACAUUUAAAAAAAAAACGCGCAAAGCAACAUUUGCGCUGAGUCUGGUGAAAGGUGCGCAAUUUCGUUUAGCUGAGACACAAACCGCGGCGCGAGAAGAGCAAGAGCUGGGCAGCCCGGAGAAAUAGCUGAGGCAGCGAUCGACAUUUAGAAGCAUAUUGCAAAUUGAUUGACAAGCGAAAGAGGAAAAGAGGACAAAAAAAAAAAAA